GAUGAACGCUGGCGGCGUGCCUAAUACAUGCCAGUAGAACGCUGAAGCUUGGUGCUUGCACCGAGCGGAUGAGUUGCGAACGGGUGAGUAACGCGUAGGUAACCUGCCUCUUAGCGGGGGAUAACUAUUGGAAACGAUAGCUAAUACCGCAUAAAAGUCGAUAUCGCAUGAUAUUGAUUUGAAAGGUGCAAAUGCAUCACUAAGAGAUGGACCUGCGUUGUAUUAGCUAGUUGGUGAGGUAACGGCUCACCAAGGCGACGAUACAUAGCCGACCUGAGAGGGUGAUCGGCCACACUGGGACUGAGACACGGCCCAGACUCCUACGGGAGGCAGCAGUAGGGAAUCUUCGGCAAUGGGGGCAACCCUGACCGAGCAACGCCGCGUGAGUGAAGAAGGUUUUCGGAUCGUAAAGCUCUGUUGUAAGAGAAGAACGAGUGUGAGAGUGGAAAGUUCACACUGCGACGGUAACUUACCAGAAAGGGACGGCUAACUACGUG
rnacentral:rRNA from 1 species